rnacentral:rRNA from 1 species
AUUGAACGCUGGCGGCAGGACUAACACAUGCAAGUCGAGCGGAGCGGCGGACGGGUGAGUAAUGCCUAGGACACUGCCUGGUAGUGGGGGAUAACGUCCGGAAACGGGCGCUAAUACCGCAUACUAUCAGAUGAGCCUAGGGCGGAUUAGCUAGUGGGUGGGGUACAGGCCUACCAAGGCGACGAUCCGUAACUGGUCUGAGAGGAUGAUCAGUCACACUGGAACUGUGACACGGUCCCGACUCCUACGGGAGGCAGCAGUGGGGAAUAUUGGACAAUGGGGGAAAGCCUGUUCCAGCCAUGCCGCUUGUGUGAAGAAGGUCUUCGGAUUGUAAAGCACUUGAAGUUGGGAUGCGUUACCAACAGAAUAAGCACCGGCUAACUCCGUGCCAUCCGCCGCGGUAAUAC